GUAGGUGAACCUGCGGAAGGAUCAUUAUUGAAUAAACUUGGUGGAUUGUUGCUGGCUCUUUCAUGAGCAAGUGCACGUCUGUCAUUUUUAUCUUUCCACCAUGUGCACUAUGCAUAGAACUGAAUUUUAUUUGAUCAAGUCUUACUUGGUUUCUGGAAAUUGCUGUUACAUUGACAGCUUUUUCUGUAUUCAGAUUCUAUGAAUUUUAUAUACUCCAAUGCAUGUUUAUGAACGUUAUUGAAGGCUUUUG
rnacentral:misc_RNA from 1 species